UACUCGGCGUGGUAGGGGGUGGAGCGAGUUGUCAGGAGCUUUUUCUCCCAGAGCAGCCGUGGAGGCUCCUGGGUAAGGAGAGGACACGUGGAGGCUGCUGGAGCUCGGGGAGUGGAGUGGGGUGGCUGGGCACGCACGCCUUGCUGGGCAGUGGGCCUGCGGUGGAGGGAACCCACUAUGCCAUCUAAGUCAUGGAGCAAUUUUGAUGUUCAUUGGUAAGAGGAAUACUGACACAAAUCACAGACCCUGAAAUACUGAAAAACUGAACUGUUUGGAGAAGACACCAUGAAGAUGCCUCCACAAACCACAAGCUGCACGAGAAAGAUCAAGAAUGAACUUUGGGUGUGGGGUUUGAAUGCAUUUGUUUUGUAUGUAUACUCUUAUGCUGAAGGGGACUUCCCCUUAACUGGCUUUUUGUCAAUGUGCCUAGUAGACAUUGUAUUUUUUUCUUUUUUCCUCUUUUCCUCAAAUUAUUGUAAUCUUUAGGUUGAUUAUGUUUCCAUGAUCCUUUUGGGGAAACUGGUUUCCAAAUACGAUCUCUGGGGGGGGUGUAAAAUGGAGAUUUUGAACCCUGGACUUCAAUCACCAGAAGUCCUUGGUACUUCCAAGAAUUCCCUAUAAUAUCACCUGAGUCCCCAUCUGUUCGAGAACACAAUUUGUAAAUACUGGCUGUAACACCUACUUCGGCCUCUCUCUCUUCCUGUACUCGGAGAUUGCAAGAUGUAGUGAGUAUGCUAAGCGUGGGGAUUCUGAAUUGGCUAAUCAGUCAUGGGCACGUGGUUUUCUACUUUGUAUUCUUAAUUCUAAUAAUCCUUAAUAAACCUCACAAAAUAUAAUAUUUUUAUUAUUAGAAACUAAAUUUAAUUUUUACAGACCAGAGAAGGAGGUGAUCUAUUAAUUUGGAAAGAGAAGGGGAUUAUAUGUAGAAGCUGUAUAAUACAUUGAUAUCCUGGUAAUGGAAGGAUAUCUGGAAGAAGGAUCUUACCACAUUUAAUGAACUCUCAUGAGCUAAAGACUCAGGAGAUAUAGUGUGGAUGGACUAUGAUCUGUCUUGUUGAAGGAAGGAUUGUCAGCAGUCUUCAUGCCCAAGUGACUUUUAAUAAGGCUAACUAUGGAGGACAAUGUGAAACUAUCCAAUUAAUUUUUUUCUACAGAUUAUCUUUUGUAUUCUCAUUUCUAAUACCCUGGUUCAAGUCAUUAUCUCAUACCUAUAUUACCACUAUACUUGUCUUCAUUGAUCUCUUUGCUCAAAACUUUUCUUCCUCUACUCAUCCUACAUCAUUCCACCAGAUAAAACACCACCUUCAUCAUUAGUGUAAUCAUUGCUUACAUCAUUCCUCUGUGACAAUUAAAAGAGUAGUUGGCAUAAACUGUGACCACGGAAAUAUGGUUUCAAGACAUUGUCUUGAGUUAAAUCAAAUAUAAAGUGGUCGCCAGGGAAAAAUUACCAAAUAUGAAAUAUACCCAAGUCAGCUGGGUUUUUAUGGAGAUUUUAAUUAAUACAAAUUAAGGAAUUAAUGAAAGGGAGAGAGAGAGAGUAAGGGGAAAUAAUGAGAAAAGGGGUAGCCAGCCCAGGCCAGCCUUGGCCCAAGCCUUAAGAGAGAUCAGUCAGUCUUUAAUCCACUCACCACAAGAUUUGUCCCAAGCAAGAUUCUAGUGUUCAGAGAGACCCAGCUACCCCAACUAGUCCGAGCUCCAAUUCAGCUUUGGCAAACUGCAUUUUCCUCCGACCCCACAAGCCUUUCAAGGCAGCUCUGGCAAGCUGCCUCUCUCCAAUUCAGCUUUGGCAAGCUGAAUCUCCAGAGACCUCUUUUGAGCUCCUUUUAAAGAGAAUUUUUUCCUAUGUCACCUCCCCUAAGUUCUCACAUCUACCAAUCACAGUAGACUUUUUCCAAAGGACUGACCAUUCUUAAUUCACACCUUCUUUAGUUCUCAACUUCUCAGACUAAAACUUCUGAGUGAGUUCACACCUCUUUGCCCCUUGCAAGUCUGCAAGUUGCCUGACCUUCAUAGGUACUUAGCACCUUUUUGUAUUAGAUCUAAAAAUAGACUUAGCUUAAGUGCUUGGCCUCACUAUAAGUAUGGGUUAAGUACUUUUUCAUUGUUCAGUAAAGAGUUUACAACUUUAUCUUCCCCUAAAGUAUGCUUAAGUAUGGGUGGAGUAGAGUUCUCACAUUCCUGACUAAAUCCCUUCAUUGUUUAAAAUGGGGAAUGGUCUUAACCAAGUGUUCUGAAGUAGGGUCUGAGAAUUUUUAAGAUUCACACCUCUGAAUAUCAACAGCUCCUUUGCUGACAUUCAGGGCACUCCAGAUCUUGUAUGGACCCACCUUUCCACUCUGUUUUCUACUCUUCCUCCUCAAGCAUUCUAUUCCAGCCACACUAAUUAAACCCCAUGUGUUUCUUUCCUUUUAUACCUCUGGAGCCAAUGUGUUUCUUUCCUUUUAUACCUCUGAGUAAUUGUGUACUUCCCUUCCUCUCCACAUAGUCAAACCCAAUCUAUCCCUCAAAAUAUGAUCAUCUGAAAUACCUCUUCUUCUAUGAAGAUAUCUACCCAACCACUCCAAUCACUCUCACAAGUGAGAUAAUUUGAAUGACUGCUAUGCCAUUUAAUCGCAUAACACAUUGUGAUAUUUCUUGGGUUAAUUAUUAUCAUUAUUGUUAUUGAAUUCUUAUGUUUCUAUUUACUUUUCCUGGGUUUGUGCUUUGUUUCCUUUGAGAACAGGAACUAUAAUGGUAUUUGUAUUUCUAUAAAUUGUAUUUUCCUCACAGCUCAAAGCACAAAGACUUGUAUAAAAUUGACCCUCAAAAUGGUUUAAAAAUUGAUUUCAAAGUCAAGAAAAUUAUAAUUUGCAGAAAAGCCCUAGUCCUUUAUUGAGAAUUUGCACAUUUAAAAGGAGCAAUAACUUAAAGAUCUUUCAUUUUGGUGCUUUUCAAAAUACACACUUAACUCCCUCUAAAAGAUAGUCAGAAGUCACCAUGAGAGCUAAAAGGUAGAGAUGAAUGCUAAGGGAGUAAGAUCUAGGUUUAGUUCUCAAUUUAAUGCUUAAGCCAGUGUAUAUUUUAUGUCUAGGUACUGAAAGAUUUCAUUAGAUUUUUUUUAAUAUUAGAAGCAGAAUGCUAUGGGAAACUUUGCAGUUAAAGAUCUUGCUCUAGAAAAAACUGACCAAUCAUUUAUUUUCCUCCCUUUGCAUGGACAAGCCUAAUUAAGAAUAAUAAAAGGAAAGGACUAGAGUUUCUAUGACUUCAAGAAACGAUUAGCUUAUAACUAUUACAGAAAAAAAAGUUUUAAAUCCACACAAAUGAGAAUAUAGGAAGCACAAUUAACUAUAAGGAUUAAAAUUUGGUAGCAUCUCACCAAAAUCAGUGUAAAGAACAUUGGAUAGGGAAUCAAGAAAACUGGAUUCUCAUCCCAACUCUGACACUUACUCUGUAAGCUUAGGCAAGUCAACUUAUGCCUUAUUUACUGUUUCUUUAUGAGCAAAAAUAAGAUAACAAUAUUUGCCUUAUAAUAUUUGCCUAGGAAUAAAUGAAGAUAAAAUGAAA